UUUGACAUAGUGUAUUUUUUUAGCUGUGUUCCCCAUGUUAAGUUGUAGAUCAUGUUGUAAAUAAGCACUUUUCAAGUAUUUUAACACUCGAAUAAUCUGACCGUAUGAAGACAUUCGUUUAUUUUUACCUAAUUCAUUGCGUUUCUUUAAGUAAAAAAAAAUACUAGACAACUUUUCAUGAUUAUAUACCCUUCAUCUAUAAAACUAGUGUUGAAAUGUUUGUAAUUGGAUUGCUAUGUUAAAUAAUUGCUUUUUAAUAUUCUAAAUUAUUACUUUUAUGUUCCAAAUGCAAAGUUUGGUCAUACCCAGUCUUAUUUUUUUCAUAUUUGGCACUUUUUUCUACUUCAGUUUUGUCCGCCUAGUUUUGGCGAAUAAACCAUCCAGAUGUUGGGGUAACAGGAAUUUCUGCAGAGUGGUUGUUAAUGACAUUUUGUGAAAUUUACAAUUUUGUCCGCCUAGUUUUGGCGAAUAAACCAUCCAGAUGUUGGGGUAACAGGAAUUUCUGCAGAGUGGUUGUCAAUGACAUUUUGUGAAAUUUACAAUUUUGUCCGCCUAGUUUUGGCGAAUAAACCAUCCAGAUGUUGGGGUAACAGGAAUUUCUGCAGAGUGGUUGUCAAUGACAUUUUGUGAAAUUUACAAUUUUGUCCGCCUAGUUUUGGCGAAUAAACCAUCCAGAUGUUGGGGUAACAGGAAUUUCUGCAGAGUGGUUGUCAAUGACAUUUUGUGAAAUUUACAAUUUUGUCCGCCUAGUUUUGGCGAAUAAACCAUCCAGAUGUUGGGGUAACAGGAAUUUCUGCAGAGUGGUUGUCAAUGACAUUUUGUGAAAUUUACAAUUUUGUCCGUCUAGUUUUGGCGAAGAAACCAUCCUGAUGUUGGGGUAACAGGAAUUUCUGCAGAGUGGUUGUCAAUGACAUUUUAUGAAAUUUACAAGUAAUUAAAACACAGAUUUAGUAAAAUGAAACAUAAUUGUUGUUUUUUAUGGUAUGAAACUGCUUAAAAAACC